rnacentral:rRNA from 1 species
CUGGCGGCAUGCCUUACACAUGCAAGUCGAACGGCAGCGACGGGAGUAAUCCUGGUGGCGAGUGGCGAACGGGUGAGUAAUAUAUCGGAACGUGCCCAGUCGGUGGGGGAUAACGCAGCGAAAGCUGUGCUAAUACCGCAUACGAUCUAUGGAUGAAAGCGGGGGAUCGCAAGACCUCGCGCGAUUGGAGCGGCCGAUAUCAGAUUAGCUAGUUGGUGGGGUAAAGGCCCACCAAGGCGACGAUCUGUAGCUGGUCUGAGAGGACGACCAGCCACACUGGAGCUGAGACACGGUCCAGACUCCUACGGGAGGCAGCAGUGGGGAAUUUUGGACAAUGGGCGCAAGCCUGAUCCAGCAAUGCCGCGUGCAGGAUGAAGGCCUUCGGGUUGUAAACUGCUUUUGUACGGAACGAAACGGCCUGCCUUAAUACGGUGGGCUAAUGACGGUACCGUAAGAAUAAGCACCGGCUAACUACGUG